CGGGGUGCACCAGGCGCGAAAACUUUACAAUGCGGGAAACCGUGAUAAGGGGACACCGAGUGCCAGCAUUAUAUGCUGGCUGUCCAGGUGUGUAAACUACACCUGUUAGCAAGGGCCGGGCAAGACCGGUGCCAGCCGCCGCGGUAACACCGGCGGCCCGAGUGGUGAUCGUGAUUAUUGGGUCUAAAGGGUCCGUAGCCGGUUUGGUCAGUCCUCCGGGAAAUCUGACGGCUCAACCGUUAGGCUUUCGGGGGAUACUGCCAGGCUUGGAACCGGGAGAGGUAAGAGGUACUACAGGGGUAGGAGUGAAAUCUUGUAAUCCCUGUGGGACCACCUGUGGCGAAGGCGUCUUACCAGAACGGGUUCGACGGUGAGGGACGAAAGCUGGGGGCACGAACCGGAUUAGAUACCCGGGCAGUCCCAGCCGUAAACGAUGCUCGCUAGGUGUCAGGCAUGGCGCGACCGUGUCUGGUGCCGCAGGGAAGCCGUGAAGCGAGCCACCUGGGAAGUACGGCCGCAAGGCUGAAACUUAAAGGAAUUGGC
rnacentral:rRNA from 1 species